UACGGAGGGUGCGCGCGUUGUUCGGAAUUACUGGGCGUAAAGCGCGUGUAGGCGGCCCCUUCAGUCUGGUGUGAAAGCCCGGGGCUCAACCCCGGAAGUGCAUUGGAUACUGGGAGGCUGGAGUACCGGAGAGGAGGGUGGAAUUCCUGGUGUAGCGGUGAAAUGCGUAGAUAUCAGGAGGAACACCUGUGGCGAAGGCGGCCCUCUGGACGGAUACUGACGCUGAGACGCGAAAGCGUGGGGAGCAAACAGG
rnacentral:rRNA from 1 species